rnacentral:rRNA from 1 species
AGCAGCCGCGGUAAAUUCCAGCUCCAAUAGCGUAUAUUAAAGUUGUUGCAGUUAAAAAGCUCGUAGUUGAAUUUCGGGAUCAGUACGCUGGUCAUGCCUUUGGUAUGCACUGGUGUCACUGGUUUCUCCCUUCCGAAGAUCCGUGAUGUCAUUAAUUUGGUAUCGCGGGGAAUCAGGACUGUUACCUUGAAAAAAUUAGAGUGUUUAAAGCAGGCUCACGCUUGAAUACAUUAGCAUGGAAUAAUGAAAUAGGACGUUUGACCCUAUUUUGUUGGUUUCUAGGAUCGACGUAAUGAUUAAUAGGGAUAGUUGGGGGCAUUAGUAUUCAAUUGUCAGAGGUGAAAUUCUUGGAUUUAUUGAAGACUAACUACUGCGAAAGCAUUUGCCAAGGAUGUUUU